AAUGAACGCUGGCGGCAGGCCUAACACAUGCAAGUCGAGCGAGCGGCGGACGGGGGAGUAAGGUCUGGGAAACUGCCUGUUGGAGGGGGAUAACUACUGGAAACGGUAGCUAAUACCGCAUACCAUCAGAUGUGCCCAGAUGGGAUUGGCUAGUAGGGGGGGUAACGGCUCACCUGGGCGACGAUCCCUAGCUGGUCUGAGAGGUUAACCAGCCACACUGGAACUGAGAAACGGUCAAGACUCCUACGGGAGGCAGCAGUGGGGAAUAUUGCAAAAUGGGCGAAAGCCUGAUGCAGCCAGGCGGGGGGUGUGAAGAAGGCCUUCGGGUUUUAAAGCACUUUCAGCGGGGAGGCGUUACCCGCAGAAGAAGCACCGGCUAACUCCGUGCCAGCAGCCGCGGUAAUAC
rnacentral:rRNA from 1 species